rnacentral:lncRNA from 1 species
UUUUUCUCAAACUUUGGCCUGCCUACAAAAUUUUUCCCUUUCUCUAUGGUUUUUUAUUUCUGACAUUCAUUUAAGGUCUUUCUUGUACUUUCUUUGCUAUUUUUCUCAUUUCCAGACCUGUUGCUUUUUUUCAACCAAACUAGAUUUUUUUUUCAGCACAUUUUUCAUUUCUUUUUUCACCUUUGGCCUCACUAUUCUUCAUGCACUCACCAAGUUCUAGACUCUCCCUACUUCUCACAAAUCCCUAAGGGCUAGGAAUUGGUUGGGGCAAAGGCUUCAAAUGGAUGGAAAACAAAGAAAACAGGCUAAGGUUCAAAAUGUGGUACAAUGGUAAGAAAAUAAUAUGGGUAAGCUAAAAUGGAAUAAUGAAGGAGGCCUAGAUCAUAUUCAAAGUUACCAAGAGCAAGCACAUCAACAAAGAAUCAAUGCAAAAUCAGAAUGAAAGCUAAACAUGCAUGUUAUCACUCAAUAAAGAAAAAAACUAGCGCAAAAUCUCUCAAGGGUUUAAGAAUUGUUAAAACUGACUUGCUACUCAUCCUAUGCAAAAAUUAGUGAAUUGAAAUGAACUAGAGACUACAAAAAUCAAUGCUAGAACUACCUCUGCCUAAAUCUAAAGCUAAGUCUACUCUUGACAAUUCUAAUCUAAGGAAAUAAAGCUAAGAAAUGAGUGAAAUUAGCAAGGAAUGAGGAAAAACUUGAAACAAAACCUAAAAACUCCUAGAAAUGCCUAACCAUGAUUACCUAAGCUAUUUACAAUCUAAACAACUAAGCCAAAACAAUACAGUAUGAUGAAAAGGAAAAACAAUUCCUACUGGACAACUUAAAGCAAUUCCUAU